rnacentral:rRNA from 1 species
GAAUUUAAUAUAAUAUUUAAUAAAUAUUUAGUAAUUAUAUUUAUUUAAUAUUAUAUUUUAUUGGGAGGAUAGUUAAAUUUAUUAAACUUUAAAUUAUAUUAAACAUAAGUUAUUGAAAUAAUGAUGAAUAAUUUAAAUUUUUUUUAUUUAUUAAAUUAUUGAAAAAUUAAUUACCUUAGGGAUAACAGCGUAAUAUUUUUAGAAAGAUCAUAUUGAUAUAAAUGAUUGC